GCUGUGAGGAGCUGUUCAUGAGAAGGUAUGGAAGAUCUGCAAUAAGAUAAGAACAAACACUAAUUCCCUGGGGUCAGCUCUGGAGACUGGUUACCAACUGGAUGUGUUCACCACCACUCUCUGGGCCUGACCACCCAACCAGUUCUUAACACAGCAAACCUAUGCAAGCUGUGGGCUGACAGCUUUUCCAGGAGUAUGCCAUGGGAGACAGUACCAAAGGCUUUGAUGAAGUCCAGGCAGGCAACAUUUACAGCGUGGCCCUCAUCCACCAGCUCGUUUCACAGUGUGACUGAGAAUUCAACUAUGCAAACAGCUGUACCAGCACAAUGGAGGGAUAACUUCUGCACAGGAAAGGAAGGCCAUGUAUUGGCCCCAAGAUUUACUGCUAUCCUGGAACAUUUCCUGGAACAUUUGUUCUCUCCAUGCUCCAAAUAUGCCUCCAGGAUUCAGAAUCCUGACACAGAAAGUCUGGGUACCAAGCACAUCCUGGAAAAGCUUGAAGAAGAUGAUCUAUUCAACAGCAAUUUUAAAAGAUCUUGUAAAAUCAGUGAUUUAAAU